CUUCUCUUUUCUUUCUUUCUUUCUUUCUUUCUUUCUUUCUUUCUUUCUUUCUUUCUUUCUUUCUUUCAGCAGUAGGUCUCAACAGUGGGCUUAAAAUAUUCAGUAAACCCUGUGUGCACAGAUGUGCUGUCAUCCAGGCUUUGAUGUUCCAUUUCUAGAGUAUGGGCAGAGUAGAUUUAGCAUAAUUCUUAAGGGCAGUAGGAUUUUUGGAAUGGUAAAUGAACACUGGCUUCAAUUUAAAGUCACCACCUGUACUGGCCUCUAACAAGAGAGUCAGCCUUCCCUUUGAAUCUUCAAAGCUAGACAUUGACUUCUCCUCUCUACCUAUGAAAGUCCUAGGUGGUAUCUUCUUCUAAUAUAAGUCUGUUUUGUCUACACUGAAAAUCUGUUGUUUAGUGUAGCCACCUUCAUGAAUUAUCUUAGCUUGAUCUUCUGGAUAACUUGCUGCAGCUUUUACAUCAGCAUUUGCUGCUUUUUCUUGGACUUUUAUGUUACAGAGACAGCUUCUUUCCUUAAACCUCAUGAACCGAUCUCUGCUAGCUUUAAACUUUUCUUUUGCAGCUUCCUCACCCCUCUGUAUUCAUAGAAGUGAAAACAGAAUGUGUCUCUGGACUGGAAUUUGGCUUAAGGGAAUGCUAUGGCUGUUUGAUCUUCUGUCCAGACUGUUAAAACUUUCUCCGUAUCAGCAUUUGGGUUGUUUUGCUUUCUUAUAAUAUGUGUGUUGACUGAGGUAGCAUUUCUAAUUACCUUCAAAGACUUUCCCUUUGAAUUCACAACUUGGCUAACUGUUUGGUGCAAGAGGCCUAGCUUUCAGCCUGUCUCAGCUUUUUGACUAAGCUUAUUUGUAGCGUUUGAUUUCAAGUGAGAGACAUUUGACACUUCCUUUCACUUGAACGCUUAGAGGCCAUUAUUGGGUUAUUAAUUGGCCUAUUUCAAUAUUGUUGUGUCUUAGGGAAUAGGGAGGCCCAAGAAGAAGAAAGAUGGAGGAAUGACCAUCAGUGGGGCAGUCAGAACACAUACAACAUUUAUCAGUCAAGUUGCCCAACUUAUAUGGACAUGGUUCAUGAUGCCGCAGUACAAUUACAAUAGCAACAUCAAAGAAAACCGUAACAGGGGUGCCUGAGUGGCGCAGUCACUUAAGUGUCUGACUUCUCUUUGCCCCUUCCCCAUUCGUGCUCUCUCUCUCUCUCUCUCUCUCUC